rnacentral:rRNA from 1 species
CCUACGGGCUGCACCAGUGAGGAAUAUUGGUCAAUGGACGCAAGUCUGAACCAGCCAUGCCGCGUGCAGGAUGACGGUCCUAUGGAUUGUAAACUGCUUUUGUACGAGAAGAAACACUCCUACGUGUAGGAGCUUGACGGUAUCGUAAGAAUAAGGAUCGGCUAACUCCGUGCCAGCAGCCGCGGUAAUACGGAGGAUCCAAGCGUUAUCCGGAAUCAUUGGGUUUAAAGGGUCUGUAGGCGGUUUAGUAAGUCAGUGGUGAAAGCCCAUCGCUCAACGGUGGAACGGCCAUUGAUACUGCUGAACUUGAAUUACUGGGAAGUAGCUAGAAUAUGUAGUGUAGCGGUGAAAUGCUUAGAUAUUACAUGGAAUACCAAUUGCGAAGGCAGGUUACUACCAGUUUAUUGACGCUGAUGGACGAAAGCGUGGGGAGCGAACAGGAUUAGAUACCCUCGUAGUC